rnacentral:rRNA from 1 species
CCUACGGGGUGCAGCAGUGAGGAAUAUUGGUCAAUGGACGCAAGCCUGAACCAGCCAUGCCGCGUGCAGGAAGACGGCUCUAUGUGUUGUAAACUGCUUUUGUACGAGGGUAAACGCCGAUACGUGUCUCUGUCUGAAAGUAUCGUACGAUUAAGGAUCGGCUAACUCCGUGCCAGCAGCCGCGGUAAUACGGAGGAUCCAAGCGUUAUCCGGAUUUAUUGGGUUUAAAGGGUGCGUAGGCGGAUGGAUAAGUUAGAGGUGAAAUCCCGAGGCUCAACUUCGGAAUUGCCUCUGAUACUGUUCGGCUGGAGAGUAGGAGCGGUAGGCGGAAUGUAUGGUGUAGCGGUGAAAUGCUUAGAGAUCAUACAGAACACCGAUUGCGAAGGCAGCUUAC